rnacentral:rRNA from 1 species
UACGUAGGGUGCAAGCGUUAAUCGGAAUUACUGGGCGUAAAGCGUGCGCAGGCGGUUAUGUAAGACAGGUGUGAAAUCCCCGGGCUUAACCUGGGAACUGCAUUUGUGACUGCAUAGCUAGAGUACGGUAGAGGGGGAUGGAAUUCCGCGUGUAGCAGUGAAAUGCGUAGAGAUGCGGAGGAACACCGAUGGCGAAGGCAGCCCCCCUGGGUCGACACUGACGCUCAGGCACGAAAGCGUGGGGAGCAAACAGG